CCGUGCUAGAUGGGGAGGUAGCGGUGCCCUGUAACUCGCAAUCCGCUAUAGCGAGGUUGAAUUCCUGCUCAAGGUUAUGCCGAUGUGAGGCUGGCGCUUGCAAGCAGUGUUGACAGUCGGGUCCUCCGCAAUGGACGCUUGUGAACCCGGUCAGGUCCGGAAGGAAGCAGCCGUAAGCAAGUUUGUUCAUGUGCCGGGGGAGUGCCUGACUCGAGCUGUGGAGCAAUAAUGCCGCUUGGGUCGCAUGUAUCAAAGGCAGGUGCACGG
rnacentral:SRP_RNA from 1 species